rnacentral:tRNA from 1 species
ACGCAGGGUGGAGAAGUGGUCAUCUCGCCGGGCCCAUAACCCGGAGAACGCUGGUUCGAAUCCAGCCCUUGGUACCA